CAUCCGGUCGAUCCUGCCGGAAUCCGACGCUCUCCCCAAGGACACAAGCCAUGCAUGCCCGCGCACCCGGGAGGCGGCGGACGGCUCAGGACAACGGUUGCACCCCCCGCGGCGGUCCCUGCUAGCUGGACACCGCUGGCAACCCGGCGCCAAGACGUGCGCGCAAGGGCGGGCGCCCGCGGGCGAGCAGCGUGACGCAGCGACGGCCCGCCCGGGCUUCCGGGGCAUCACCCGGUCGGCGCGGUCGCGGCGCGCCGAGGGCCCGACGCCUGGCGGAGAAUCAGGGUUCGAC
rnacentral:rRNA from 1 species